AAACCAGCACCUCAAGUGGUCAGGAUGAUUAUUGGGCCUAAAGCAUCCGUAGCCUGAUCUGUAAGUUUUCGGUUAAAUCUGUACGCUCAACGUACAGGCUGCCGGGAAUACUGCAGAGCUAGGGAGUGGGAGAGGUAGACGGUACUCGGGAGGAAGUGGUAAAAUGCUUUGAUCUCUCGAUGACCACCUGUGGCGAAGGCGGUCUACCAGAACAUGUCCGACGGUGAGGGAUGAAAGCUGGGGGAGCAAACCGGAUUAGAAACCCCAGUAGUCC
rnacentral:rRNA from 1 species